UGUGAAGACACACAGAAGACACAUUGGCCCCAGACAGAGCCUCUUGUGAAUGACAGUGACCAGAGGCAAGAUCUACCCACAUUUAUGAAGCAUCACAGGACCGAACAGGAGUAACCUGGAGUUGACUGUACUCAGUCCAGAAGGUCAUUAAUUGGGGACUGGGAAGGAAGAAAGUGAGGUCCGUGCACACCAAAAAUAGCUUCCAGAAUGACUCUGACUCUCUGAUCCAUCUUCACCUUCUUUCUCUAGCUCUGUGCCAUAGAGGAUGGCUUCACUCAAGCUCUGCAUUCUACUGGGAUUUGACCAAUGCAAAGCACCAACAAAUUACUGGAGAGGAACAUCUGUGCAUAGACAACAGCAUCCUUCUGUCCUGAUAGUUUGUUUCCCUCCUGGUUUGGGCCAGGGCAUUACCUCCAAGGAAGACUGCUCUUCCUACAGUCAUUUCAGGGGCGGUUUCUGUAUGGCCCCUGGGAGAAUCUCCUAAUGAACUCUAGUUUGUACAGAAGAUGGUACUGGUGAGAUUCCAGCAUGCAUGUGAGAUGCUACUCCAGAAAGCACCAUGCUAUCUGUGAAAAACUGCCAAAAGAAGUAUAGACUAAUGCUUGGGGGAGGGAGGGUUAAGAGAGGGGAUUUUAAAUGACUCCUAAACAUAUUGCUGAAAAAUGUUUAUUCUUGUUACACACAUAGUAAGAAUAAUUUGUAGCAUUAGCACACAAAAAACCGUUGCACAGAAAUUAUUUCGUGGGAACCUCAUCUGAUACUUGUGCAUCCCCAUGCACAAGUGAUGGAGUUAGGACCACUGAAGUCAGCUGCUUAGAGGUCACCUAAGUCUUCUGCAAAGGAAUCAUACAUAUUAACUUUAAAUCAGAAGAAAAGAUAACUUCUCCAUUUUAAGUUAAAAAUAGAGCAAUGAAUUAAACCUGAGUUUCUAUGUGCUAUAAACAAGAAUUUUUUUAUCAUUCCAAACUUCUUUGUCCAUGUAUACUUCCUGCACCUGCACUGCAAAGCACGUUUGCAUUGCAUGCCACUUUGGGUGGUUGCACUUGGAGACUGGACUACCAGCUUCAGGUACAGGCUGUACUUACGGUUGAGGGCAGCAGCUCCUGAGAGGUACCUGAUGGCCAUUUUGUGUAUCACUUCUUGUGCUGGGAAACAGCCCAAGAUUUGACAUGAUAGAUCUGCCCCUUGCAAAAUGAUGGUAACCAUCUGGUCCAAUCUGAUUAUUUUUUUAAGGAAUUCUAACUUGAAGUAUGAGAGGAUAUGUAGACAGUGGGCAAGUAGCAAAGGUCAUUAAGCACUGAGGUCAUGAAUUGAUAGAAGAGAUGACUGAAUAAAAGCCUGAGAGGAAGAAAACAAGAAGACAAUCAGAAGACCAAGAGCAAAAAAGGGGGCCUUAAGUAAGUGAAAACUAAAAGAUCUAUUUAUUAAGGAGGAAGGUCAUUGGUUGGUAUUAAUUGGUAAUGGAAGGAGGGAGAGAAGGAACAAAGGAGGGAAGGAGGGAGACAGAGACAGACUCAAUUACUAAGAACAUCUUAAUUGGACCUGACAACUCCAGCUUCUAAGAAACGUCCAGGUGACUCAGCCUCCAGAACCACACUGGUCCCUGGAUGACCUCUGAGCUCACAAAUGCUGUUCUAUCUCUUCCCGCAGGGCCUGAUGAGCAGCUGUUUCCCUAGGGCUCAGCCAUGUUAUUGUUGGUCUAAUCAUAUUUAUUCCCAAGCAUAUCCUCACAGUAAAUCUAUCAUUUGAAGUAAAUUAAGUAAGUGUCUAUUUCUUGCUAGCAAAAAGGCUAACACAGUAGUUGCAAUGGAAAAUCACAAGUAUAGGAAGAUGGCAGUGCUCUUAAAGGUUUGGCUUGUUAUUAUAGGGCUCUGUGCCAUUGUGACAAUACAGGGAAGACAUCGCAUGUCUAAGAAGUAAUGAUUUCACACCUUCUUCUUAGCUCUUCCAGUGAUGCACUGCCAACUCACCUUCAUGAAACAUCACUGAUCAAGCAUCCAUUUUCAACCUACAGCCCAAGACAGUGUUCCACCUGUGGGAGUGUUCAAAAACUGUUACCCAUCAGGGUUCAUGGGAAAUACUGAAGAUACAAUCUCUCAGAGGUUUUAAAAAGGGGUAGCACU